CAGACACUUGUCUUACUUUGUUAAAGCGGUUUACCUGUCCAGCAGAAAGGUUACAGGGUCACCAAGAUCCCCAAGCGUCCCCCAUCGUUUAUGUUGACCCGGCUUUUUAGCUCUUGUCCGGUCUACCUCCGUUUUAAGCGCCCGUUAUUCCUCCAGAGUCUCCGGUAUUUACUUUGUUUUCUUGCUUGUGUCGGCAGUCGUGGCCAAAGGAGGAUUCAGACAAUUUUCCGAACUUUCUGGUUGGUUUCUACUGUCCGAUAUUGUAGCACGCUAACUUUGUUUGGGCUCCUGAACGACACGGGGGAGCAGCGUCUGCCUCACAACCAAUCAGGUUAGAGGAGGUGGAGAACGGCUUUGUUUACAGUCAGAAAGAGUGGACCGCUCAAAAAUGUUCAAAUGUUGACGACACAGACAUAAGAGAACACAGAGAUAUCGAUAUAUUACCAAAUGUCAUCAAUAACUAAUAACUAUUGACUGAUAUUAAACACUUUUUUGUAUUUACUCCACAAAAAAGAUGCUUCUUUAACGUAUUCCUUCCUACCUCAACUUUAACUGCAAUUGGAAUUGUGUUAAUAUUGGAGUUAGAAGAAGUCAGUCUGCACUAAAACGUGAGAAUGUUGUAGGGAGAUAAUAUCGCCAUCAUGACUUGUUCACUUUAGGUACUUUGUAAGAUAUGUCCUUAUAAAUGAAAUGAGGCCAGUUUCCGUAUUUUUUUAACAAAACUAAAAAGAUUACCUCCUGAAUCCUUAAACAUUAAUAGAUGAUUUUUUUCUCACAUGGCGAAAUCCUCAAACCUAAAAUGUAAUUCUUAGCAUAAAUCAGAGCCUGAGAAUAUCAGCUGAUGGUGCAGGUUAGAGAUAACGCACCGAACGUGAGUUGAACUAAAUAUUGGAUUUAAAGGCCGAGGUAUAAAAGCAGGAAGUGUUUUUGCUGAAUUUCAGUCACAAAGAAAAGAAUCUUAUCAUCAGCCGGCUCAUCUUUCACCUCUUAGAGGAGGGUGAUGGUGCACGUCGGGGUGCGGCUGGAGCUCGGCUGGUGGAGUGGGUAUCUCAUGUACAGAGAUAACAGCCCUCCACACUGGCCACAAGAUCAAUUCUAGUAUUUGGAGCAUGUCCUCCUCGACUCUCCAGUACAUUCCUCAGACUUUCCUAUAAAAUAAUACUCUUAUGUGUUUCAAAUCAAAAGAGUAGUCCUGCCAGGCAUAAAAAAAGAGUCUUGAAUAAUAAUAUUAUUGUUUUAUUUAAUAAGAGCCCGAACAGAAAAAUGGUUGCAGAAGAGAAAUCUAUCGAGCCGGGUGUCCUCUGGUGUUCUCACCCUGGUGCUCUUGCAGGAUUCCCUGAGAUGCUGUGUCUGCAUGCUUUGCAUCCACUCACAUAUUUUGAGGUCCAGCUCGUUGCUGGUUGCCUUCUUGCUUGGCUUUUUGUUCUAAUGCUUGGAAAGACCCCAAAGACCCCCCGUUCUGUGAGUCUUUAUGGGUCGACCAGAUGAUAUCUUGUCCCUGCUUCUGCGGAGCUCUCUCUUUAGCAGACUCAGUAACUGAAUAAAUAAUAGAUUGCACAUUUCUUUGUGCCGCUUUUUUAUGCUGCUUAUUUGUCAAAAUAUGCAGCAGCACCCGCAGAGUAUAAGAAACUUGGUUAAUUAGGGCUGGUAUGUAAUAGCCGUUGUGUUUUGUAUGGGGAAAUGGAUGCUCUUGUUUUUAGGAGGACAGAAGCACAUGAUGAUAAGUUUGACCUCCUAUUUGUCCAUUAGUGUCUACAGAAAACGCUGCAACUUGAGGCCAAAAUUUUAGAUUACUUUCUAUGCUGAUGAUCGUGUGAUUUUCAUGAAGGGGUCGUUCUCUAUUAUAACAUGAUUUUGGAUUUCUUUCUGGGCUGAUGAUAGUGUAAUUUCUGUUGAUUGGUUGUAUCUUUGUUAUAGCAAAAAUAUGAAUUUCUUUCUAGGCUGAUGAGAGUGUGAUUACUAUUGAUGUUCGUAUCUCUAUUAUAACAUAAUUUUGGAUUUCUUUCUAUGCUGAUGAGGGUGUGAUUUCCACUGAGGGUCGUAUCUCUAUAAAAAAACUAAAUCUUGGAUUUGUUACUACGCUGAUAAAAGGGUGAUUUCCAUUUAUGGUCAUAUCUCUAUUAUUUUGAAAUUUUUGAUUUUGUUUCUACGCUGACGAUGGUGUGAUUUCCAUUGAUAGGUCAUAUCUCCAUUAUAAGGAAAUUUUGGGUUUCCUUAUAUGCUGAUGAUAGUGUGAUUUCGAUUUAAUUGGUCGUAUCUCUCUUAUAAUGAAAUUUUAGAUUUCUUUCUCUGCUGAUAAUAGUGUGAUUUCAAUCAAUGGGUCGUAUCUAUUAAAAUAAAAUUUGGGGUUUUUUUAUGCUGAAGAUCGUGUGCUUUCUGUUGAUGGGUCGAAUCUUUAUUAAAGCCAAAUUUGGGAUUUCUUUCUACACUGAUGAUACCGUGAUUUCCAUUUAUGGUCGUAUCUCUUUUAUAAUGAAAUUUUGGACUUCUUUCUAUGCUGAUGAUGGUGUGGUUUAUAUUGAUGGGUUGUAUCUUUAUUAUAAUGAGCCACAAAUUUUUGUGAAGAGAAGGACACUUCACACUACCAGUAUCAGCUGAUCACCUGGAUGGUUUUGGAGGGACAUAUGAAUCUCUAGCGCCACCUUGAUCAAACAUCAGUGAGUGAUGUACAUUUCUCCUGUGGAAACAUCUGAGACUUGAAUGAACGAAGAUUUAUGUUCAGACACAUUUUUGAUAAAAAGGUAAUUAAGUCGACAAAUAUUGAUGCCUCUGUUUGUAAAUCACUUAGCUCUUAACAGCAUCGACAUGCUCCAUUUCUUCAACCUCUCACUUCCUGAAGCUAUUUCUGAAUCAAAUUACUUCCCCCUGCUUCCCUCUCCUGCUGUUUUGACAUGAUUGUUUGUUAUCCACAAAAUCUCUUUAUUUUCUGAGACUCGGUGUUUCUCUGACGACGUUUCAGGACGUUUCAUUCCAUCUGCACUUAAUGUCAACUUGGGAGGACAAAAGCCCUCUGAAGACAAUUUUGUUUGCAGAGUGUCUUCCGGCUCUUGUAGCACUAGCAUAGAUGUGGUGAGUGCACACACACACACACACACACACACACACACACUAUAUCAUCCCACAGUUUCAGAUAUCCCCCCUGGACUCGUGAUGAGGCACUUCAACUCAUGAUUGGCUUCAUUUCUUCAGACAGCCGGCCUUUAUGAUUCUCUCAGAUCUUUUCUCCACACACUCUCAUCUCUCUGAGUUAUUCUUCCCACUCUUCAAUAUCCUCGUCUCCUCUCUCCUUCUCUCUCCACUUCAUUCCUUCUUUCUCUUCAUUUUGGUCAUCUCUUUGCGUCACAGCUGCAUGAGUGUCAGAAACUUGUUCUAACAAUAGACAGUUUCUCUUCCUCCUCCUCUCCCUUCAUUACCAUCUUCAUAUUUUCCUUUUUUCGCAUCAAGACAAGGGCCAUUUAACACCGGAGAGCUUAGCCCGAGGGGUGCACAGCACAAUAACGGCUGUAAACUGUGAACUAAAAAUGCUGCAAAAUAAUAUUCAAGAAGAUGCCAGAGACUCGACGUUAAAGAAGAGGGGAAUUGGACAUUGUUUCAAAUCAAUUCCACUUAAAAGACUGAAAUGAACAUAACGGCGGUGCAGUGAUGUGGUUUUUUCUCCAUUAUUAUAGUGUUUACAUCUCUUUAAUUAGUUUGGCCGGAGGGGCAGUCCGUGCCUGAACAAAAGCUCUGUAUUGUUGGAAGCAGCUAUUGGAUACUUUUUCAGAAAAACACAUCACACAGAAAAGGAGAUACUAGCUUUUUUAAUGUUCAUGAGUUCAGUGUGCCGUAGAGAGUCUUUUAUUCUGGAGGAUAGGCUCGUUCUGGACCAGAAACCUGCAAAGUCUUUUAACAUGUGAGUUCAGGUUACACUCAUUGACUGGACCGCCACACAGAGAGGCAAAGUGGCGAGGAGGGCGAGUUAUCCCACCUGUGAUCCCCUCUCGUAGGUCGGAACAGAGGUAGUUUCCCCAGAUAGUCGACUUCAUUAAUCUGCUUAAAAGUAAAGCCCGAAGUUUGCUAAUGUGAUUUAUUCCUUUAUCACCAAUUUCAACAGUUUAUCAAUUAAAUUUUCGUUUCUAUCUCGUCUUAUUCUGUCCAGUAGGUUAGGAAGUGGAGCUAACAUUAAGCGUCUAACUAUAAAAGUCAGUCUCUGAGGUAACUCAACUGAAUUCAGACAUUUUGAUGCCUUUUCCAGUGCUUAGUUUUCACUUAUUCAGCUUGUAAAAAUGCAUCAGAUUGCUUUCUUGAUGCUCAGUUCACGCGUCGUUGACUGAUAAAAGACUCAUCCGUGUGUUUGCAGGUGAACAGACGCCUCUGAUGUUUUCUGAAAGACAGUUUGGGAGUAUGCCAGGCUCUCAGGUGUCUGGCUUUAGUUACAGAUAGUGGGCCACAUUUGUAAUCUUUCACGGUAAUCCAAACAUUAACUCAUUCAGCGCCACCAUUGACGGCAAUAGAAAUUUCCGUAUUUUUCAGGACCUACAGAAUAUCUUGUGCUUGGACUAGAAUUAAUAUCUCAAGAAAGGAGUGAUUCUCUUCUAUCACCCCAAAAAUAGUUUGUCUCUAACCCACUCCUGUGUUCAGUUAUCACCUCCUCAGUGCAGUGCGGUCGUAUAAUUGAUCUGGAAAAACUCAUUUUUACGAAGGAGAGACUUUAGAGCAGAACUCUGAUCGUCUUUUUCAUUUCACUUCAAACUAUUUUUCCGAUGGCAUCAAGCUCCUCCCUCCUCGGACACCACUCCUCAUGACUUUCCAGAUCCGAUCGUGUAAGGUCACUUUGUAACAACUGCUCGCAUCCUCCUCGCUGGGACUGUCGCUGAAUUCCGUCUUAGUCUCGCUCACCAGAACCCACACCGGCGGCACAACGACACGCCUGGAAAUUGUUUCUGUGAUUGUCUGCUGAGGAUGUGAAGGUCCGGCACCAAGAUCUCCACUGGAUCCAGAGACGGUAGCACCGCGCCCAAGAGAGCCAAUGUGCCGAGACCGUUAGCUCUUGGAUAAUGACUUCGGCAUUUUCCGACUCUCCUCAUUGAGAAAAAACACUCCAUAACUCGUCUUAUUGGCACACUUGAUGUCCCACUUCUCUCUGGUGAGUAUUUGUUUUUGUUAUUGUAACGUGGUUAUGAUGUAUUUAUCGGCAUUUCUUAGUCGCAUGUUGAGGAGGAGCGCCCCCUGGUGGAAAACAAAAAAAUUAAAAAAUCUGUCAAAAUCCUUCAUUGACACUGAAUGAGUUCAUAACAAUUUUCGUGUCACAGGGUGAAAAACAAAGUGCUGUCAGGACCACAUGGUGGCUAUAUUUCACUUUUACCCCUCAAACACCUGCAGUCCUUCAGGAAAGAAGAGAUUUAGACAUGAAGAUCGAAAUUUCACCCUGAAAUCUUGAUGUUUACCGUCCACUUAAAUCCCAGUUUUAGGACCGAGCUGUGUGUUUACGGCUCAACAGUAAUAGCUCAUCAGUUCCCCAGAGCGACUUUGUGUACCUUCUGCCACUCAUUUUCUUGUUCCUGUUUUUGUCCCUGAUGAUUUCAGUUGUUUGCAGCGUCACUCCGACAUUACUGCAGACUAAGGCUGCUGGGGUAUUGAUUUACUCCACCAGCUCAAGUCAAAGGAAAACAGCAGCCCUGAUGGAGUAGGUGAGAGUGAAACAGCUGUGGCACCAGAUUUGAAGAGCACUUUAUGAAAUGUUAAGGGGCUCAGCGGGGUCAUAAACGUGACUGCGAGGUGAAGUUUCAGGAUGUAUUAAGACUGAGAAGUCUGGAAAACUUUACUUUUGGAGGAAAAAAAGCACCCAAGGAGCUUAUUUCAUCUAUUUAGAUGUCUGUAAAAUCUGCCGUGUUUAUGAGGCUGUUGUUCCACCAAAUGUAGAGCAGCCAAAAACAUGAGUUAUUACCCUGCAGAAGGAAAUUUCCCAUGUAAGUCACGCGCUCGGUGUUUCCAUAACAGAUUUUAUUUGUUUGAAUCCCCUGAUCUGAGCCGUACGUGUGUUUGCAGAUUGAGGAAAGCCAAACCAUAACAUCUGCAAGCAUGAUCAGAGUUCACUCUUUCAUUACAGAAAGACCGGCCAUGAUUACAAAGGAUGAUAAUGACUACAAUUACAAACAAUUAAAACAUGGAAAGCAUUCUGCCAGCCUUGGCUUUGUGCAGUCAGCUGUUAUAGCACUGAGCUCUAUUGCAGCCUGUCUUAAUAGCUUCAGCUUGGUGGCAGCUUUGAAUAAAAUCUGUCAUCCUGGAGGCAAUCUUCUCUUUAGACCAAUAACCGAAUCAGGAGUGUGAAUGAAAAAAAUACCUGUUUGUGAGCGAGUGACCCAUCUGUCAACAGCUCUACCCCCCAGCUGGUUCUUUUGCUUUAAGGUCGUAAACUCUCAGUCUCUUAUCAUAAAUGACUGACAGGUACAUGAAUCAGCAUUUUGGUCUUUUGCUGACUCCAGCUGGUAACGCAGCUGGAGUCAUAAAAUUCGGUGGGAAGGUAACCUUGCUAGUUUCCCCAGGUGCUAGCAUAACUUGUCAAAUCAAACUAACGAGCUGGGAUGAAAGUGAAACUGAAGUUAUUUGUCCUGACAGAUGGAGAUGGAAAUUCAGUUAAACUUUUAACCUGUUCUGAGGUUGGCAGCAUGCAAAGUUGUCCAAUUAGUAUGCUAACAUGUUCCGAAGGCUAGCCCAUGUAGACUGCUGAGACUGAGCUAAGUGCUUCCUGUUUGUGUCCUCAGCUCUUUUCUCUGUUAGAUUUCCUCCAUUAAGUGCCAUCCCCCGACACCUGGUAGCAGUUAGCUAGCUGGCUAACUAACAAAAAGCGUUAGCUUCACAUGCCUUGUUCUCUGUUUUGAUAAUUUCCUUAGCUUCUCCUGUUUAAUUUUUAAGGUUGUUAACUCUCAGCCUUUUAUCAUAAAGUUAGUUGAACUUUUAACCUGUUCUGAGCUCCGAAGCAUGCAAAGUCACCCAUAAGUAUGCUAACAUGUCCCGAAAGUGCCAUCCCUGUCACCUGGCAACGGUUAGCUAGCUGGCUAACUAACAAAAAGCGUUAGCGUCACAUGCCUUGUUCUUCGUUUUUAUGAUUUCCUUUGCUUUACUGUUUAAUUUUUAAGGUCGUAAACUCUCAGCCUCUUAUCAUAAAUGACUGACAGGUACAUGAAUCAGCAUUUUGGUCUUUUGAUGACUCCAGCUGGAAACACAGCUGGAGUCAUAAAAUUCGGCGGGAAGGUAACCUUGCUAGUUUCCCCAGGUGCUAGCAUAAUUUGUCAAAUCAAGCUAACGAGCUGGGAUGAAAGUGAAAGUGAAAUUAUUUGGCCUAAAGAUGACAGCUCUUCUCCUCGUUAGAUUUGCUCCAUUAAGUGCCACCCCUGUCACCUUGUAGCAGUUAGCUAGCUGGCUAACUAACAAAAAGCGUUAGCUUCACAUGCCUUGUUCUUUGUUUUGAUAAUUUCCUUAGCUUCUCCUGUUUAACUUUUAAGGUUGUUAACUCUCAGCCUUUUAUCAUAAAGUUAGUUGAACUUUUAACCUGUUCUGAGCUCUGAAGCAUGCAAAGUCACCCAUAAGUAUGCUAACAUGUCCCGAAAGUGCCACCUGGCAACAGUUAGCUAGCUGGCUAACUAACAAAAAGGGUUAGCGUCAAAUGCCUUGUUCUUCGUUUUGAUGAUUUCCUUUGCUUUACUGUUCAAUUUUUAAGGUCGUAAACUCUCAGCCUCUUAUCAUAAAUGACUGACAGGUACAUGAAUCAGCAUUUUGGUCUUUUGAUGACUCCAGCUGGAAACACAACUGGAGUCAUAAAAUUUGGCGGGAAAGUAACCUUGCCAGUUUCCCCAGGUGCUAGCAUGAUUUGUCAAAUCAAGCUAACGAGCUGGAACGAAAGUAAAACUUAAGUUAUUUAGCCUGACAGAUGACAGCUCUUCUCCCUGUUAGAUUUGCUCCACCAAGUGCCAUCCCAUGUUGCCUGGUAGCAGUUAGCUAGCUGGCUAACUAACAAAUGUAGUUAGCAUCACAUGCCUUGUUCAUCAUUUUUAAGAUGAUUUUAACAUAAUCUAAAAGUUGUCUGAUAUUAACAUUCGUGUCGGUUACCACACUGUUGAGUUAAUCUAUGUAUUACACUGAAAUUUGUAACACCUGGCGGCUCCAGACUUCGCUGUCUAGUUUGAGUUAGCGAACAAUAUCAGGAUGCGUUGGGCCACAAAGGAUGAGUCUGUUACCUUUGAUGCACCUUUACAAUCCAAUCCGUCCUAAAAUGUCCAGUUAGUUGAGGUCAUAUCAGUGAUUGAGGACCAGGGGUAGAAGUUGACAGAAACUACAGGUGCGGAUUUAGAAAAAAAGAAUGUAAGCCGAUUCAUCUUUUUGAGCAGUCAGUGGAAAAUUUUAAAGAUCAAUUAUCUGGUGGUCGUUUUUUUCACAAGACAACUUCAUUUUUAGGGUUUUGGGAAAAGUCAGGGGAUAUAAGAGAACCUUGUUUGAUAAAUAUUCAACUUUUGAGGUUGAGAUCUUUCGCUUUCAAUCCCUGAGUAAACAGAGUGACAGAAAAUCCAUUAGAAAGCCACUUCUAGAUCCUGGAUUGAUGUGUUUUCAUCCAAAUGGAGUUUAUUUCUCCUUCUUAAACUUUUUAUGGCUCGGUCUGACUUUAGGGCCAAAUAAAAAGGUCUUUUUCGCCAUCCUGCAGACAUUUGCUCAAAAGCAUUGGUACAGUAAAUGAUUAUUGAUUUUUUUAUUGUACAUUUAAAACAAACUGCACGUUCCUGCCCAAGAGCUGAAAAAAGCCUGUGUGUGCUAAGUUUUACACUGCUACAAAACUUUGGAUUGUAGAGGAAAAUAAUCACGUCUGUUACCUGCUACUUUCGACUUUAAAGGUAUUAUAACCCGUGGCAAACUUCCCCUUUCUUAGUUAGAUGAAUGGCAUAUAUCCCACAGGUGUGUUGAGUGCUUGAUCUUGUAAAUGUGACUCCUGUUCCUGUGAGAUAACCUCUAUUAAUAAAGGUGGUCUGUUAUUUAUUGAUAGCAGACCGUUGCUAAGCAGAACAAGCUGUUGCUAAGGAAAGUUAAUCCAAUUUUAGCAUCUGAAAGAAGAUUUUUGAUAAUGUCAAUUAGGGCUGGGCGAUAUAGGAAAAAGUUUAUCACAAUAUUUUUUUCAUAUCAGGCGAUAUCGGUAUAUAUCACGGUAUAUAAAAUAAAAUUUUACUUUGCUUGUUGGUUGCAUUUCUUUUGCAAUACAAUAAGCUACUACAUCUGUGAGGACAUUUUGUCGAAUGGUCGGCUGUUUUCGGGGUUACAGUGCUAUAGUUGCGUGUAGCUGCUGUCUGCUACGACGCAGUUGUUUGAUACUUGGUUCUAAUUUAGCCUGAUUGGUUCAGCAGGAGGUGGACCCACAGAAACUCCCCUUUUCAUUGGCUAAUCGUGUAGUCCACCAAAACAUGGCGGAAUGCCGACUAUUGAAAAGCAUAUUGACCAUAUUUUAUAUUGAUAUUGAGGGGAAUUAAUUUUCAAUGUUAUCGUUUUAUCGCCCAGCCCUAAUGUCAAUGCACAAACAAUUGUCCAGUUGUUGGUUACGGUGGAAAGACCAAGAAGGAUGACAGUUAGCUAUAAUGGAAAAAAUCGACGUAACUGAAAACAGCAAAUAAAGUUUAACUGAAAAAAAGAAAAGACAUUAUUUCGUCUGUUGUAAAUUAGUGGUGCUAUUUGUGGGCUCAGUACUUCUGCUUACACUGACCCUCCUCUGAACAGACAGUUUCAGCUGAGGCUCCGUCCGGCUGCUUAUUAACUGAAGAUCAUCUCCUGAACCGUGUUUUGACCGGAGGAGUCGCUCACUUCGUCUCGUGUUUUGACGGCGAGCGGAGGAGUUAUUGAUUCAAACGACAUCCAGUCACGGAGUAUUUACCCAGCCUACACUUUUUAACUGAAGCAGUUUACCGCCCUGUGUUUCACAAUUAUCUUGUCAGGUCACAAGUCUGAGGAUUAAGAGUCGUCUGUAGAGGAGUGUUGCGGUACAAAUUAUACCAAAGUGCAGACUUCGUUUGACACUUCAUGACUGGAAGUGUGUUGGUUGUGUGUUUUUCUCUGGGUUUGAAUUACUUGUGUGUUAGUUGGUGUGUGUUCUGUACUUUUUCAUCAAGGACCUUCAGAGAUGAAAAACAAGCAAUUAUUGUGAGAUCACAUUAAACACAGAGGUUGCAUUGUCUCUGUUCUUCACACGCACACACGCCUCUGUGGUUUGGCCGGCGAACAAACAGCUUCCUGUUAUUUAUUUUUCAUGUUUGAAGAAAUUCAUGAUCUACUUUAUCUGAGGCUUCUGACAGCAGCAGAGCAAACAGUCUUCCUGUUAGUUUUUCCAGCGUUGAAAACAGUUUCAUACUUGCGGUAUUUGAUAGUCCGGACAUGCACACGCAUACCGCAGCAGAUGAGAGAUCGAAGCGAUACUGUUGUGUUGACAUCCAGCCCACUGAAAAAGCUUUUUCAGAGUUGACACCAGGUGGGCAGUCAGGUAAUCCCCGCCAACACAUGCAGACAAAUGCAUGUUAUCCAAGAUCAACCUUAAAAUGCACUUUCUUCAGGGCGCUGAGUCUUUUAUUUUGAAAGUAACUGAUAACGCUUCCUUGUACCUCCAUAUGCAACAGCUCAGAUAGGAGGAACAGUGCUCCUGUUUGUGUGUGUGUGUGCAUCUUAUUUCAGGUACAUGAGCUAAAGCAAUGAUAAAAGUCUCUCCUUCCUCUUUUUUUCAGUCAUUUCAUAUUUCCUGGUUGAUGGACUCGGCGCGGCCUGAAGUGGGGGGGCAGAGCUCCUGUAGAUCUCUCAGGCUCGGUAAGUACUCUGGUGUGUGUCGCCUCCAUCACCGAUUUCCAAUACUUCAUAUACAAAUUAAGUGAAGCAGAAACAAGAUUUUAUGACUUGGUACCAAAAGGAAAUGACAACCUGCUGAGAUUUGCUUGGCCGUAGAGCUUCGAUAAAGCCUCGUUGUGAAGUGAUGGAGACAAAUGAGCUCCAGGAAUAGCUGCUUCCUGUCCUUCAGGUACGAAGCAGGAGAGAAUACAGAAGAUUAGCUGCAGCGGUGACCCGGUAACAACGGCUUUACUGGAAAAAUCCCCCAUAAUUAGGAUUUAAGAGCUGCACUGAUGGCUGAAAUGAGCAUAUUUUCCCAAAACAGUUGGUCGAUGAAAAAGCAUGAAGACCUGAUGCUGCUGGGUUUCUGUUCCAGGACCGGUUUUUAUCAUUUUAACAACAGGAGGAGGUGAAGUCAUUAAAGCUCCAGUGAGGAGUUUUUAAAGGUCAUGAAACAGACUUCAAUGAACAUCAUUAUGAUGUUAGAAAAAAAGCAAAUGAGAGCGUUGGUGUGAAGAUGUCUGUAACUUUUGCGUUUCACCGUCAAAGGGAGUUUUUUUUUGUCUGUUAACGCAAAUUUCACUAGGAUGAGGUGAAAUCAGAAACAAUAAUAGAAGGGUUACCUGUUUGCCUGUAGGGGGCACUAUAAUCAACACGGACAGAAAGGUCGUCACAGGAGCUUUAAUUUUAUAAACAUGUGCUGGACUUCUUUCUUGGACGUUUUGAUCAAUAAGAACCAAGAUUUCAAUAAAGGCAUGUGAUUGAUAAGAAAUGUGAGUACUUAUAAACACUUUUACUCACAUAAUAAUCAAAUAAAAGGAUCCAAAAUUUAAUUAAUAAAAUAAAGUACUAUAUUAUCCAUACAGUUCAUAAACAAACAACAUAUUUGUGUGUAUUUGUAAUGCUUAAAAUGCUAACACUACCUCAACACAACCUCGUGUUAGCAGAGAUCGACUCGCUCACAGUGGAGGGUGGACGGUUCACGAUCUUCUCUUUAGAGUCUUUUUCCAAGUCUUCAUUUUUCUGUUUUUUAGACGCCCCAUUAAAAGUGUUUCUGUGAACUUGUCAUCAGGAUAUUAUCUCAGCGUGACAUUUUAAAAAUAUAAAACAAAAUGUUCCCGACACUGUGACAGAGUGUCUCUCUAAGAAGUGAAGGUUACAGUGAAACCGAUUGUCUUCUCGUAUGCUAACUCGUGUCUGACCUCCUGCCCCCUGUCGUCUUGAAAUAACUCAACUCCCUCUGCGACUCCGAGCGGCCCAAACAGUUUAAAAUAUGUAUGAAUGGAUGUAAGAGGGGGUCACAGGGGGUUUGCUGUUCCCCAGGCUAGUCCGGACAUCAACUUUAAGGUGGACAGCUUUCUGGCUCCUGGUUCUGUUGAUUUACUCCUGCUGUAUCCGGAGUGUCCUUCCAAGCGUCUGGAAAUAAGCUUUGAAAGUUCGUCACUGUUGGUGUUGAAUAACCUUUAAAGCUUCGUAUUUAAACGACUUUCUUCCUCAAAAUCUGUUUGAGAAAUUAAAGUCGACUUUUAAAGCACGGCUUCCCCGCCGGCUCUUAUAUUGGCUGCCAUCAGCUUUAAUCUUUGAUGGAGGAACCUCGAGGUGGAACAGAUAUAACCUGCAGAAUAAAGGAGCUGACAGCGCCUCCCAACAGCCGCCCUUAUUUCCUCUGCACCAGCAUAUGAAAAUGAAAAGAUCUGAGAAAAGGAUAAUCCUAGUCAGGGUUGGGUGCUAUCAGCCCUCCGCUCGUCUCCUGCAGUGACCCCAUCAGAGAGCUGCUCACCCCAACAACACAAUGCUGCACAGAGAGCCCAUGGCAGCUCCUUGUUUCUGUCUCUUCGCCUCCUUUCCUCUCCUCCUCUCCUCUCCCUGAGGCUGCCUUUAGGACAAAAAUAGCGCUAUUAAGGAUCAUAACAGUCUGUGCAAGACUGGCUGUGCUGCCGCAGGUGAAACGCACACAAAGAGGUCCACUUUCGAGGCUUUUCAGAGUCCAAGGAUCUGUACAAAAGUCCCCCUUCUUCUUCUUUUGUGUUAGACGUUGAUGACUGACGGGAGAUUUCCACAGCAGUAAAUUUCUCUUUAUUGCAGCGCUUCAGACGGGAAAAAAGCAGGUAAAAUCAUGUUAAUUGGGAACCACGCAGCGCCAAAAGGUUGAGUCUUAAAUUGAAAUGGGUCACAGGUGAGUAGUUACCUUGAUGAAGAUUUAAUGAUGGAUUUAAGUAUUCAGAUUUCUUCAUCAGACUGUAGAGGACAUGUUCUGCUCUGUGACUAAAGCAGUCCUCGUCUCUCUUCUCUAACAGACGGUCCACCAUGUCUGUUUACAGACUCCGCAGGCUCAGGUGGCCGAGAGCAACAAGCAUCAAUUUGACUGACAGAUGAGAGACCGAGCAAAAUCACACGAGAGCUAAUCAAGAACGAGACUCCAAAGUUUAUGAUGUGGAGAAAUUCACUCCCUCCUGUCCUCACAUUGAACUUUGUUCUCAAAUUAACCCUCAAGCUUUUGUUGUGUGGAGGAUUAGAGACGAAUCUCACCUGCCACAGCAGAAUAAACACCUGAGCGAUCGGAUCCAAUCCAGCAGAUUCUACUCUGAGGAAGAUCCGAACUUUCAGUUGUUGUUGACGUGAUCAGACGGGCGAUUUUUGUACUUUUUCAUCCGUUAUUGAGGAUACUAAACAAUUCAGGAACAAACAUGUUAAUCAACGUCAUGCUCUCCAGUAGAGCUAAACUUCAUUUAAAGCUCCUGUGAGGAUCUUUCUGUCUGUGAUGACUUUGGCGCCCCCUGUGGACAAAGUGUUAACCCUUAUAUUUUUGCUUAUUUUGUCUUAUCCUGGUAAACUUUGGUGAAUAAAUCAAAUAAUCUCCUCUUUUUGUCUUUUUUAAGUGAAUUUUAUCACUCUUCUUGGAUAUUUGAUACAGGUGAAGUAAAGGUUGUUACACAGCGGCGAAUUAGCGAAGAAAAUAAUUAUUAUUAUCUUAUAAUAAUUUUGUCCAUUCAAUUGUCUGUAAAAUCUGCCGUGUUUAUGAGGCUGUUGUUCCACCAAAUGUAGUGUCACCAAAAACACAAGUUAUUACCCUGCAGAAGGAAAUUUCCGAAAGUAAGUCACACGCUCCGUGUUUCCAUAACAGAUUUUAUUUAUUUAAAUUUCCCGAUCCAUGCCGUACGUGUGUUUGCAGAUUAAGGACAGACAAAUUAUAACAAUAAUUAUAAAAAUAAUCCACUUUUUUAAAGAAACCUCAUUGAGUCAAGACAAGCUUCCACACUGACUACCAACUUCUGCAGAGCGAAAAAGCAACUGAAUUUUGCGAACAUUCGAAGGCAAACUGCGAUUUAAAUCUAUAAUAUAAAUCUUACCUCAGACAUGUGGCAAGCCAUUGCUCUGGAUCAAUUGACUCUGUAAUUUGUCCUCUCCUUCUGCAAACGUGGAGUCAGCUGAUGGAUCAGCCGAUGGAGCAGAUCUUCAAAUUGUCGAAAUAUUGUCGGAGAUUCUCGGGAAACAAUUUGAGCUCCUGGAUCGUCGUGUGGAGCUCGUCUGUAUUAAGGUCAGUUUUGGAUGUACGCAGACACUUGGAUCCUUCUUUUUCUUUUUGUUAUUUCAUCGUCUCACAGCCCUGACCAGGUCAUCGUCACUUGAGGAUGUAGUCGCCGUUGUUUCUCCUUCCUCUCUCACCCUCUGUUCUCCCGUAAAUCUCAGACCAUAUUUUUAUGCUAAUUUUAUUCGCGCUGCAUCGGGUGUGUAUAGGAAAAGGCACAAGCUGAAUAUUUCGCAUCGCCUCAGACUGCUUCAUUAGUUUUAAAUGACUUUAUAUAACUUUAUACUUAAUUUAUGCACAGGACUUACAGACUCUGCAUGUAUGUUGCACUGACCUAUCAUGUUUUCACAGGCCUCUAUAUCAUCUAGGCACCGUAAUCAACGAACGGUGCGUCAAACCCUGGAUACUACCAGAGCGAUGACGUCUUCGUUCACUUCGACUCUCCCCGGACCACCAACCCACCCUCCACGGUGUAAGUGAGGGAUCCUAUCAUUUUUAUGCAGCCCACUCCUGGCUCUGAUUUCCGUAUGCAGACAGACGGAUGAGUAAUCAGAGCUGAAGAGGGUGUUUUGACGGGGAAAUCAACGGUACCACAUUCACUCACUGAUGGAAGAGACUGCUGUGUCAGGGUAGAAGUCAUUUUAGUAAGCUCUGACUUACACCAAAGUACCGAAAAGUUGUGAUGAGUUCUGAGAUUGAUGCGGGUGAAACGGCGUUAUUUUGAACCCUGGAAAAUAUGAACCGUUGAUGGACUGGGUGGAGCGAAACUUUGGCGGAGUUUGUCAGUUUUGUCAAACAGAGCGGCAGAGUUUGUAACCCUGUAGUCCCAGCGCAGUAAAUCAGCCGGAGCAGGCUGUUAGUGUGGCGGGUACAUCAGUCCAUUUUGGAGGUCUAACUGACUUAGUGAGUACUCGAGUGAGUGACCUUCCACCUGAAAGCACAUUUGGACUGAGUUAUCUACCCCGAGCUCAUAUCCAGACCAGACUCUGGAUCCUGACUAUAUUUCAUUUCCUUCAUCAUGCAGUCGACACGCCUCACAUUUGCUUCUCCCCCGUCUCUCUAAACCCUUAUUGCAAUUCACCUGGCUGGUAUAACCCAUUUUUCCAUUAAGAAGAAUCACAUUAUAAGCUCUUACAAAAGCGCUCAAUUAUCCUCACAUUUAUUCUGCUCUUUGUUACCGCCUCCGGGCAUGUGAGGUGAUUCAGGACUCCCGGGUCGUAAACACCAGAUUUUGACUGAAGCAGAGACUCCUCUGAAGGAUUUUACAAAGUUUCCUCCGGCUCUCCUGAUGAACAUCGACGGGGUGUGUUUCACAUUCUCAUUUCAUUUAGGAAUAUGUCUCAAUUAGGACUCAACGAUUAAACAAUUUUAGAUUGUAAUCGGAUUAUUUGAUUAUGACGAUGUUAAAAACAUUUUUAAUAAUCAAAUCGAUUUUCCUCUCGAUCAGACUAAGGAGGAUUAGGGCAACAAGAAGAGAAAAAAUAAUUACAGGAGGAGAUUUUUUUAAAUUUCCAUUUCGAGAUUAAAGUUAAAAUUUUGAAAAUAAAGCCGAAAUUAAUAAAAGCCAAAAUUUUAACUUUAUUCAUUUUGACCUUAAUGUCGAAAUUUCAACUUUAAUCGAGAAAAUUAAAUUUUUAACCUAAAAAAUUUCGACUUUAAUGACAUAUGGAUUUUUAUUAAUCCAGAAAUUUCGACUUUAAUCUCCUUCCUGUUAUUUUUUUGUCUCUUCACGUGGCCCUAAUCCUCUUCCGUCCUUCAGGCCACCGUGUAAACACACCAGUGUAAACAAACAUGGCGUCUGCUAAAAGAUAAUUUCGUGGUUAAAUAGGACAAGAGCGAGUCAGUCGUGUUGAAUUGGUACGACUUCACAGUUUCAGAUGAAGAGUAAACCACUCCCCGCUGUAAAGUCUGUCUGAAGGCGGUAUCAACCCGUCACCACGGAAACGAAUUCAGGAGGAAACGCUAAAGUUUUUUGUCGUAUCGGCGUUUCAUCCACACAGAAACGGCGUUUCACAACGACCAUUUCAUCUCCGUGUGGAUGUCUAUCUGCAUCUCUGGAAACGAUCAUGUGACACACAGAGUAACUCUUUUAUGGCGCCAAAACAACCUUUAUACACAUGCUCUGUACUCUUCUUCUGUCUUUUGUGCAUUUCCUGUGCAGCGUUACUGGCUUGGCAUAUGCACUACAUUGUCGUCAGUGGUUUUGUUCUGAGAGAUGAUAGAAAAACUUUUACUAAAGUGAAGUUUGGUGAAGUUGUCACUGAAAUCAUGAAAAAAAUCAGGAUUUUAUUUUCGCCCUCGUCUGAACCUCUCAUAGAGCAGAGCCGUUAAUUACAACAGAGAAGCUGUUUUCUGAUGGUUCAGGGUCAUCAGCACCAGCGUCUCUAAAUAUCACACCUUCGGCAUUUUAAUUAAAGUUCCAGCAGGAGAGUCCGGUUCCACUUUUUCCACAGAGCUUUGCCGUGCUGGAACUGAACUGUAUCACAUAUCAGGAUGUCCAAACAAUAGCGAGUCUUUUCUAUAAUCCAAGAGAAAAAUAAUGAAAUAAAUUUUUUUUUCUUUUUUUUUUUUAAUAAAAAGGAAGAAAAAACCUCAAGCCUUUAUUUUGCAUAAUAAGUCGAUAACACAGAGCUAAUUUCACACUUCAGUGGGAGUCUGCAUUAAUAAUUCCAUGUGUUCCCUGCAGGAAUAAGAGAAACCCAUAAUCCGUUAUUAGAGUAUUUAAACAUCCUCUGAAGUGGAGGGGAGACGUCACCAUCGAGACGGAGGAAACGUUAAACAAAAGGCAGAACAAAUCUUGCGGUAAAUUUAACUAAGUCAGACAAUGACCAUCCUGAAAACAGAAAAGGUUGAAGGAUGUGAAGGGAGCUGUUUUUUUUUUUUUUUUAUUAAAACCAAUCUCCUAAAGCGCUUUGCACUUGGCACCAUGCCUCUCCAUUGAAGCUUUAUUUGGAAGGAAAAGCCUCCAGUUAAGAAAAUUGGAGUUAUUGUUGCUCGAUUAUGUAAAGUAGGCGAUCAAAAUGGUUCUCAAUCGUGCAAGGCAGUGAUACUUCAUAUAUAUAUAGAGUCCAGCUAAUAUCACAGAAUCAUUAUGAACAUGAACUGAAAAACAUCAAACUUCUGUGCCGUGACAACCGGCCGUCACUGAUCUGAUUUUUGACGGUUCAGUCGAUUGUCAAAGUUAGGCCAGCGUUCAUCACAGCUCGCCAUCUGCGGCUGCUCUAAUUUGCAUGAAAAGGCCUGAUAAGUGUACGUGUCGUAUGAGCUCUCCUCCUGACUCAUUCCUCCUGAAAGCAGACACAUUGAGAUAUAUGUCGACCUUGACAAAAGACUCAUCUACCUACUCAGUGAGCGUGAACCGACUCUCAGUGUCGAAGAGACGAUGAAAGCUGAAUGUCGGCAACAAUAUCAACACACAGAUAAAAGCACAUUUUAGUUAUAUAAUGUUUAUGAAUGGAUUAGUUUAAAGAUCAGCUGUUGAAUACGAGACAUAAUCUUGUAAUAGCCUCUAAUGUGUAAAUGUGUGAUGGAUUUUAUGACCGACAUUCACAGAUAAAACCUUCACUUUUUACCAGUUUUCUACAUUUCCACACUCCUGAAAAAUUUCUUUUUUUUCAGUGACAUUCGAUCUGAAGGAAACCUGAAAUUGCAGCAUCAAACCGUACAAACAGAAAAGGCUGUAAUUCAGAGGAGCAGAGCCGGCUCCUGUGAAGGUGAACCGCUCCAUGGCUAGGCUCCUGAGGGAGGGAGGGGUCAAAGGGCACGCUCAGGGAAAAGCAAUUGAGAAUCAGUCACUUUCUGUGACCCCAUAGAAAAUAACACUGCCGGGCUAGAAAUGAACCGUCUGGGGACAAAACCAUGAGACACACCAGGUCCGGUCAGCCUGCAGAGAUCCUGCUCCCGGCUAAGGGCAGUGGUGGACCUGAGGGGGUCGAACCUCCUGAUGCCUUCCUGUUGAGAAAAACAUGGCGGCUGUCUCCUAUUGGCUGCCCUUUCAGUGAAAAAACAUGACACACCAACUUGAUGCUCUUCCAGUAUAACAGGAUGGAAAAUGUGGCUCGUAUGUAAAACAGGAAAAAGUGCCCUCAGGAUGAUCUGCCUGUUUAAAAACACUGACAGGAUGAUUUCUGACUGCAUGACUGUAUAAAAAACAGGGGGAACCCUUCCUUUUACGGUAAACUUAUAACCAGCUAAUUAACAGGUAAUUAACUAGUAACAACAUGAAAUUAUCUGGUAAUUACAUGAUAACUAAUAAGUCAAUACUGUCUAGUUUUUCCAUUUCCAAAAGCUGUUUGGGGUUCUUAUUUUCUAUAAUUGACACUUGAUACAGCCUAUGGGCGUGCGAAGAUUGCGUAGCGAUACGCUGUUUGAGCCGAGCGUUAUCACAGCGACUCACCCGCCGAAUGCGUACAACGCUACUGCGCAAGAGGUGGUUCCAGGAAGCGUAAAAAAUCCUGGAGAUACCAGAGAAAUUCAGCUUCAAAUCUGUAUGAUGAUGGAAGGUUACCUACCUGGUAGAUAGACAGUAUUGACUUAGUAGUUAUCAUGUAAUUACCAGAUAAUUUCAUGUUGUUACUAUGUAAUGACCUGGUAAUAAGUUUACCGUAAAAGAAAGCGUUACCAAAAUAGGGAUGUCCCCAUACGAUACUCAUAUCAGAUAUCGGUCUGAUAUCAGCAAAAAAUCAAAUAUCAGAUUAUAUCUGCAUCAAAAAUCUCUGAUUUCAGCACUCUGAUACAAGCAGUCCAUUCCAGACUCCAGCACCUCUCUUUAGCAGCAUGCAGAGACCCGUAACCAGGACAACAGGGUGUACUAAUGUACGAACAAAGUAGAGAGGAGUAGGAGGGAUGUCGGCCAUGUGGAAGUGUUUUUUAUUAAAGUCUGAAAAAGAUGUUGAAACUGAGUGAAAAAACUUGUCAUGUAUAAGUUUGUGCCAAUAUCAGAUCAAUAUCGGUAUCGACGCAUAUUGAGCGUCUGCCUCACAACCAAUCAGGUUAGAGGAGGUGGAGAACGGCUUUGUUUACGGUCAGAAAGAGCGGACCGCUCAAAAAUGUUCAAA